CAUUAAGAAGCUAUGAAACAGCAUUAGCCUUUUAAGCUAAAGAGAGAGGGAAAUCCCUCCUUAAUGA
rnacentral:tRNA from 2 species